rnacentral:lncRNA from 1 species
AUGCAGGAUAGGGGAGUGGGCUUUACAGGCACCUGGGCUUGCACUUAUGGAUACUAUAGGGAAACUCAUGCUGAUACCGGUGAAGAUGCAGUUCAGACAUGGCGGUGGCGAAGACAGGGAAUACUGAGGAGCUCAGAGCUAUUUUUCAAUGUACAGCAUGGCCCUCAUAAAAUGGAGAGACACAGAGACCUCAGUCACCAGCAGGGAAUGAGCUGCCUUGGUUCACUUGGCAGACGGAUGCAGGACAUGUGCCUGAGUCGGACAGGGUCUUCUCCUACUAAGUGGAGUCCCCCAAGACCAUGGGCUGAGUCCCAGGAGAUCCUGAGGGGUCUGUGUUCAACUCUUUCCCUUCUUCUUCACCAGCGCGAGUCUGAGGAUCCCAGGGAGCAACACAACCAUUGGGGAGAAGCUGGAAAAGUACAACUCAGCUGUGCAGCGCUCGGAGGUGGUGAAAUCAUCCCUGACUGUUCAGAAGAGCGUCUUGGUGUCCUCGGAGGGGGUGGCCAGCAAGCGCAACAUCUUUGAGGGAGGUUCUCCCAGCAAGGCUGAGCCGCUGGCUGCCAGGAAGGACAACCUGAAGAUCCCGGGAUCAGUGACAUCCCGCAUUAAUCUGUGGAUCAGCCGAGCUCAGGAGCCUGCCAAGGAGGAAAAGAGCAAGGUACCGGCAUGUGCUGACACCUCGGGCUAGACCCUGAGUGGGACAUGUCCCAGCAUCUGGGGUGGAGGGGAUUGAAGGGUUGAUGAACCCUUGACUGAAAGAAGCCAAGCUUAAGAGGAGCUUAACCAAGGUCAGAAGUCUGGGUGCUGCAGGGCCAUCACAGUGAGAUACUGGGGUUCUAUUUGUUCCUGUCCCCUGAUCCUGAGCCCAAAGUGUCCAAGAGAGCUGCUCCCAGCCCUUGGUGGGUUGAGGAGGGAGCAGGCACCAGCUGGAUGCAUGCCCCUGGGGAUGUGGAGGGGGAUCUGACCCUGCCACCAGGGAGAGACAUCACCGCAGCCUGACCUCACCUCUACCAGUGUCUGGAGGACUAGCUCUGACCUGGAAGCCACUGGGAGAUGAGCUGUGUGCUCGGUGCUUCGGGACCAGGCUCUGCAGGGCAUGGAGAGCUGUGUGGACUGAGAGGUCCUGCUGCAGGUGUGGUCUGGAGUGAUCUGCAUCCCUGUGUGCAUCACAGCCCCCAAAAGUAUGGUGUCCUGUAGCUGUGGGGCAAAGUGCCCAGCUAAGGGGACUCACAGGUCAGCACUUUGUCACUGCGGCUUCUCCAGGGACAUGGAUGCAAGGGAGAGGGACAGGAGACCCUUUGUCCUCAGGGCAGUUGACUGAACUUAGAAAGGAGAGGUUUGGCAAGUCCUGGAGAGGUAUCACUGUUACAGCAACAAGGUGUUUUGCCAGUGCCCAUAGCAUCUGCCUGGGUACAGAACCAGGGGGGCAGCUCCAGCCCAGCCCGGCAGACAAGCCUGGGCACCCCCCGUGCCGAGCUGCAGAGAUUAGCGCUGCCCAGACGUGUCUGCGCGGGAGGCCGUGCUGGCUCCGUGUCUGCCAGGAAAGGGUUUGCUCCAGGGGUCACCCUUGGGUAAAGCUUGCAGCUCCUUUAUGGUUUUCCUAUAGUAAUGUCUGCUGCCCUCCAUCUCUGUGAGCUGGAGCUGCACUUGGUUUUGAGGGUCUACCAGGUGCAGGUUCUCAAAGCUGGCUGGGGCAUGUGUCCUUCAAGGUUUGGUUAAAGUCAGACCAAGGCAACACUGCACGUGAUGCAUGGGGAGAACCUUCUUGUGCCACUUACGACCCUCCUGUUUGCAGGACAUCAGGAGAAUAAACAGCCUACCAAAACGUGAUGUGUGGGUAAA